GCGGGUCCCUGUUUGCGCAGCGGUAGCAGCAAGAAUGCAGUUUUUAAUGAUGAUGCUAUGAGCUCCUCCGCGACAUUGUUCUGAUGUCCUGAGCGUCCAUUCGUUUCAAAUUAACGCAACAGAAGGAAUUAGGAGUCUCAAACCCUUGCAGCGACUGUUGUUUCUUUUUUUUAUUUGUUUUUUUCUACCUCCCGUUCAACCUGGUUCCCCGUGUGAGACGACAAUUUUCCCAGAGUCGGAAAAUGCUUGGACUCCAGAUAGAAGCAACCGGGCCACCCGGUUUUACCUCUCCUUGAGCCGACAUGGCCGCCCCUCAUCACCCACUGAGGGGUGCCCCUCCUCAGAAGUGGAACUGUUUCCUGACUUGAUUUGAAAGAAGAGCAUUACAGAAAAAUGGCCUAAGCUCGUUUAGGCCGUCAUAUAGUAAGGUACAUCUGACGGGUUCUCAGUUGAUAUCCCACAGAACCCAGAAAAAAAGAAGCUAAUUGUUUUUUGGGAGAAUCACAACACUUGAUGAAAUAAUAUCCACCUCCUCUGCCUGACAAGGUCCAAUCAUGGCUGCUACAGAACCCCGAAGGGUUGAUUUCUUGAAGAGACGAGACUGAGUUCAGAAUGCAGCGCAACAGCGGCGGACUCGGGGGCGGCGGACAGCCGUGGGUGCUGAGGCGGGUGCGUCUCACCUGGCUCAGUUUCAUGCUUUUCUUUAUUCUGGUGUUCUUCCCGCUCAUUGCCCACUACUACCUCACCACCAUCGAUGAAGCCGGGAGUCCCGAUAAGCGGAUCUUCGGGCCCCGGCCCGGCGGCGAACUGUGCGAGGCCAAACACGUGCAAGAUCUGUGCCGCAUACGCGAGUCGGUCAGCGAGGAGCUGCUGCAGCUGGAGGCCAAGAGGCAGGAGCUCAACGGGGAGAUCGCCAGGCUCAACCUGCGCAUCGAGGCCUGCAAGAGGAGCAUCGACAGCGCCAAGCAGGACCUGCUGCAACUGAAGAAUGUUAUCAGUCAGACGGAGCAUUCCUACAAAGAACUCAUGGCCCAAAACCAGCCAAAACUGUCCUUGCCUGUCCGAUUACUUCCCGACAAGGAAGACCCGGGGUUACCGCCGCCCAAAUCGUCGCGGUCCUGCCGCCUGCACACCUGCUUCGACUACGCCCGCUGCCCCCUGACGUCUGGAUUCCCAGUUUACGUUUAUGACACGGGCUCCUAUCCGUGGGGGGAAUAUAUCGACCCCCUCGUUAAGCAGGCGUUUGCCACGUCGGCUAAAAAGAAUAUUUAUGUAACAAAUGACCCUGGCGUCGCUUGUCUCUAUUUGGUAUUGGUCGGAGAGCUGCUGGAGUCGCCGAGUUCCUUACCGCCAAAUCCGUCUGAUUUGGAGAAGCAACUGAAAGCUCUUCCCUACUGGCGAUCGGAUGGACACAAUCACGUACUGGUCCAUCUUUCCAGAAACUCCCUGACGCAGAAUUUCCUGUAUAACGUCAGCACGGGCCGAGCGGCGCUCGUUCAAUCCACCUACCUGGAGCAGCAGUAUCGCGACGGCUUUGACUUGGUCGCCUCCCCGCUGGUUCACGCGCUCUCCGAACCCAACUUCUUGCACGUGCCUCAUCAGGUACCCGUGAAAAGGAAAUACCUCUUCACCUUUCAGGGGGAGAGGGUGGAGUCGCUGAGGAGCAGCUUGCGGGAGAUUCCUCCUCAGUCCUUUGAGGAGGAGAUGGACGGAGAUCCGCCUGCCGACUACGACGACCGCAUCAUUGGCACUUUGAAAGCCGUGCAGGAUAGUCAGUUGGAUCAGGUGCUCAUCGAGUUCACCUGUAAAAACCCCAAGCCAAGUUUACCGAGCGAGUGGUCUCUAUGCGGAGAGCGAGAAGACAGGCUGGAGGUACUCAAGGCGUCGACUUUCGCCUUGGUGAUCGCCCCGGGAGACGCUCAGCUGGUUGCCUCGGCGGGCUGCGGAAUGAGACUUUUUGAAGCCCUCGAGGUCGGCGCCAUCCCCGUAGUGCUCGGCGACCACUCCAAACUGCCCUACCACCAGUUUAUCCGAUGGAGCGAAGCGGCCAUCAUGGUCCCAAAGCCGCGCGUGACGGAAUUACAUUUCCUGCUGCGCAGCCUCUCGGACAACGACAUGUUAGCGAUGAGGCGACAGGGUCGCUUCUUGUGGGAGACUUACUUUUCCACCUCGGAGAGCAUACUUAAUACUAUCCUUGCCAACAUUCGCACCAGGAUUCAGAUUCCCGCCGCACCUAUUAAUGAAGAACCCGCGCAAGAAAUCCCCCAUAAAGCGGGAAAACUCGCUGGUACCGAUGCUAACUUGGCAGACAACGGCGACCUCGAUUUGGGUCCUGUCGAGACGGAGCCACCGUACGCCUCGCCGCGCUAUCUCCGCAACUUCACAUACACGGCCGUGGACGUUUACCAGACGUGGAACCGUGCGCCCGGCCCUUUUCACUUAUUUCCCCAUACUCCGCUGGACCCCGUUCUGCCCUCCGAAGCCAAAUUCCUGGGUUCGGGAACAGGUUUCAGGCCCAUUGGCGGAGGCGUGGGAGGGUCCGGGAAGGAGUUCCAGGCAUCUUUAGGCGGCAAUGUUCCCAGGGAACAAUUCACCGUGGUCAUGCUGACGUAUGAGAGGGAGGAAGUGCUGAUGAACUCCUUGGAGAGGCUGAAUGGACUGCCUUACCUCAACAAGGUCGUGGUCGUGUGGAAUUCACCCAAGCCUCCUUCUGAUGACCUUCUGUGGCCUGACAUUGGGCUUCCCAUUGUGGUCGUCCACACCGAGAAGAACAGCCUGAACAACCGUUUCCUUCCCUGGGAUGUUGUGGAGACCGAGGCCAUCCUUUCCAUCGACGACGACGCCCACUUGCGUCACGAUGAGAUCAUGUUUGGUUUCAGAGUUUGGCGAGAGGCCAGAGAUCGCAUCGUGGGUUUCCCAGGACGAUAUCACGCCUGGGAUCUCAACCAUCAGUCCUGGCUUUACAACUCUAAUUACUCCUGUGAGCUCUCCAUGGUCCUGACAGGAGCGGCGUUCUUCCAUAAGUAUUACGCCUACUUGUACUCCUACGUGAUGCCCCAGGCCAUCCGGGACAUGGUGGAUGAGUUCAUUAACUGUGAGGACAUCGCAAUGAACUUCCUGGUCUCGCACAUCACCCGCAAACCGCCAAUCAAGGUGACGUCUCGCUGGACCUUCCGCUGCCCCGGUUGCCCCCAGGCCCUGUCGCACGACGACUCGCAUUUCCACGAGCGCCACAAGUGCAUCAACUUUUUCGUCAAGGUGUACGGCUACAUGCCGCUGCUGUACACGCAGUUCCGCGUGGACUCUGUGCUUUUUAAAACGCGCCUGCCGCACGACAAGACCAAAUGCUUCAAGUUCAUCUAGCGGAAAGGGCCGAGGACGGGAAAUAACACCCCGUGUGGAAUGGAUGCUGAAAACUGCCAGCCUGAAGAAAAAAAAUCCUUCGAGUGGAUUGCUUUUCGUCCUUUUUCCGUGUCCUUCUCAUCAAGCUUUGUCGUGAACCACUACAGAUGUUUUCUAUUGCCGAAAGCGGUUGUACAGAGUGUACAGAAAUGAGGAUGAACUCGACGUAAAAAGAUGAAAACUACUUGGCCAACUAUGUUGAGUUUUAUUGACUGCUGGGUUUCAUUUCACAGUAAUGAAUUGUACGUCCGGUACAUGUACGUGGCAGAAGCACUGAUUGUCAAAUGUAUUUUAUUAAGGUUUUUUUUUGUUUGUGUGUGUGUGUUUUUGGACAUUUGUUUCCAUCCCAUUGAACCUGACUUAAGACAAAAGUUUGGACUCAAUCACGUUGAGUUCAGCUCGUCACCAUAUUGCCUCGAUUUUAUCAUGGAAACCAGCCGACAACCGUUUUUGUUGUGUGUGUGUGUCCCCAAGCAUUGUGUGUUGUUGCUUUUUUGUGACCUUAAUUUUAGUCUACGUUUUUUUGUUUUGUUUUAAUUAUCGAUAGUUUAUCCUGCCCCCCCGACCCCUCGAUGACUAGAAAUUAUUCGUAUUACGGUCAAGUCACGUAAGCGCAUCUCUUAAAUAUGUGUAUGACCCGCUUGUAUAGAAUUGUCCCAAACAACACAAAUGUGUAAGUGUCACUUUACAGUGUUGCCAUAUUGGUUUCACUUUUAAUUUUUUUUUUUUUUUUACAAAGUAAUUGUUCCAUGAAUGUUUUCUUUGCCAAACAGGUACGAACGAUGCAGUCCGGUACGCCCGCUCGCCCGCCCGCCGGCGAUGUAAUCGAUUGAACUUCAUGUUUGUGAUUCCAAAGUCUUGAAAAAGAAAGUAACUACAUCCCGUUGUUCUUGUGUCGGGAUGCUUUUUAAGAAACACGUAGUCGAGUUCAAGGUUCCUGUAUAUUUAUUGAAUACAUAAUUGACUUUUUUUUUUUUUUUAAUUGACAUGCAAUAUAAUGACAGGACAUUUGAUGGAUAAAAUGGAGGGCCAAGGAAAACUAGCUUGUACCAUUUUCCUCUCAGGGGGGUGUUCUUGUGUCCAAAUAUUUUCAAAUCGGCAGGAGUCCAAAUUCAGAAGGCAGUUUUCAAAGCACUAUUCCUACAUUUUUUAAAUUGAAGACCUAAUUUCACAACCCCAUCUGAGGCACUAAACGGUUCGGCUGGUAUUUUUUAACCUGCCCUCGGAGUUGGGUUUGUGGCACAGCUGGUUUUCCAUGGCUCCGAGCAAGGAACAUUUCUACGGAAUGCUACAGUCAUUCUGCAACGUGCACCGAGGAAGUGCACGGAAUGCGGCUCAUUAUUCUGAACCAGCAGGAGACAGGAAGACCUCCCUAACCUGAAAA